ensembl:lncRNA FCGR1BP Fc gamma receptor Ib, pseudogene
AAUAUCUUGCAUGUUACAGAUUUCACUACUCCCACCAGCUUGGAGACAACAUGUGGUUCUUGACAACUCUGCUCCUUUGGGUUCCAGUUGAUGGGCAAGUGGUAGACACCACAAAGGCAGUGAUCACUUUGCAGCCUCCAUGGGUCAGCGUGUUCCAAGAGGAAACCAUAACCUUGCACUGUGAGGUGCUCCAUCUGCCUGGGAGCAGCUCCACACAGUGGUUUCUCAAUGGCACAGCCACUCAGACCUCGACCCCCAGCUACAGAAUCACCUCUGCCAGUGUCAAUGACAGUGGUGAAUACAGGUGCCAGAGAGGUCUCUCAGGGCGAAGUGACCCCAUACAGCUGGAAAUCCACAGAGGCUGGCUACUACUGCAGGUCUCCAGCAGAGUCUUCAUGGAAGGAGAACCUCUGGCCUUGAGGUGUCAUGCGUGGAAGGAUAAGCUGGUGUACAAUGUGCUUUACUAUCGAAAUGGCAAAGCCUUUAAGUUUUUCCACUGGAAUUCUAACCUCACCAUUCUGAAAACCAACAUAAGUCACAAUGGCACCUACCAUUGCUCAGGCAUGGGAAAGCAUCGCUACACAUCAGCAGGAAUAUCACAAUACACUGUGAAAGCAAGACCCUGCGAGGCAGGAACACAUCCUCUGAAUACCAAAUACUAACUGCUAGAAGAGAAGACUCUGGGUUAUACUGGUGCGAGGCUGCCACAGAGGAUGGAAAUGUCCUUAAGCACAGCCCUGAGUUGGAGCUUCAAGUGCUUGGUGAGAAUGACGGGAAGCCACUGGCACAGAAGAAGGGACUCCCUUAUCUCCCAUGGGACUGAGGCCUCCAGUUACCAACUCCUGUCUGGUUUCAUGUCCUUUUCUAUCUGGCAGUGGGAAUAAUGUUUUUAGUGAACACUGUUCUCUGGGUGACAAUACGUAAAGAACUGAAAAGAAAGAAAAAGUGGAAUUUAGAAAUCUCUUUGGAUUCUGGUCAUGAGAAGAAGGUAAUUUCCAGCCUUCAAGAAGACAGACAUUUAGAAGAAGAGCUGAAAUGUCAGGAACAAAAAGAAGAACAGCUGCAGGAAGGGGUGCACCGGAAGGAGCCCCAGGGGGCCACGUAGCAGCGGCUCAGUUGGUGGCCAUCGAUCUGGACCGUCCCCUGCCCACUUGCUCCCCGUGAGCACUGCGUACAAACAUCCAAAAGUUCAACAACACCAGAACUGUGUGUCUCAUGGUAUAUAACUCUUAAAGCAAAUAAAUGAACUGACUUCAACUG